rnacentral:miRNA from 1 species
GAGGGGGAAGGUGAUGACAUC